rnacentral:rRNA from 1 species
UGGGGAAUCUUCGGCAAUGGACGAAAGUCUGACCGAGCAACGCCGCGUGAGUGAAGAAGGUUUUCGGAUCGUAAAACUCUGUUGUUAGAGAAGAACAAGGGUGAGAGUAACUGUUCACCCCUUGACGGUAUCUAACCAGAAAGCCACGGCUAACUACGUGCCAG